GACGAGCCACACAAACGUUAUUCGGAAUCACUGGGCUUAAAGGGUGCGUAGGCUGCGCGGAAAGUGGGGUGUGAAAGCCCUCGGCUCAACCGAGGAAUGGCGCUCCAAACUACCGUGCUAGAGGAAGACAGAGGUAAGCGGAACUGAGGGUGGAGCGGUGAAAUGCGUUGAUAUCCUCAGGAACACCGGUGGCGAAAGCGGCUUACUGGGUCUUUUCUGACGCUGAGGCACGAAAGCUAGGGUAGCAAACGGG
rnacentral:rRNA from 1 species